rnacentral:rRNA from 1 species
CCUACGGGAGGCAGCAGUGGGGAAUAUUGGACAAUGGGGGGAACCCUGAUCCAGCCAUGCCGCGUGUGUGAAGAAGGCCCUCGGGUUGUAAAGCACUUUCAGUGAGGAAGAACGCCUGGUGGUUAAUACCCAUCAGGAAAGACAUCACUCACAGAAGAAGCACCGGCUAACUCCGUGCCAGCAGCCGCGGUAAUACGGAGGGUGCGAGCGUUAAUCGGAAUUACUGGGCGUAAAGCGCGCGUAGGUGGCUUGAUAAGCCGGUUGUGAAAGCCCCGGGCUCAACCUGGGAACGGCAUCCGGAACUGUCAAGCUAGAGUGCAGGAGAGGAAGGUAGAAUUCCCGGUGUAGCGGUGAAAUGCGUAGAGAUCGGGAGGAAUACCAGUGGCGAAGGCGGCCUUCGGGACUGACACUGACACUGAGGUGCGAAAGCGUGGGUAGCAAACAGGAUUAGAUACCCGUGUAGUC